AGUUUAAUUUUUAGUUUUCAGAGGAAAUUCCACACUGUUUUCCAGGUGGCAGCACCAGCCUGCUUUCCCACUAACAGUGCACUAGGGUUCACUUUUCUCCACAUCCUCUCCAACAGUUGCUGUUUCUUGAUUGGUUUAUGAUGGCCCUUCUGACUGGUGUGAAGUGGUAUCUCAUUGUGGUUUUAAUUUCCAUCUCUCUGAUAGCUAAUGAUACUGAGCAUCUUUUCAUGUGUCUCUGGACUCUCUAUAUUUCCUCCUUGGAGAAGUGUCUGUUCAAGUCUUUGUCCACUUUUAAACUGAGUUGUUUGUCUUAUUAGAGUGAAGUUGUGUGA